rnacentral:lncRNA from 1 species
GAAAUAAAGUAGUAUCAUCAGCUAAUUGUGAAAUUUUAAUUCUAUGAUUUUUAUUAUCUAGUUUAACUACGAACCCUUUGAUAUCUCUGUUUUUUCGAAGUCUUAAAGCCAUGAUCUCCACGGAUAAAACGAAAAGAAGAGCUGAUAAGGGACACCCCUGCCUUAUUCCUCUUGAGUUAUGAAAUAUUUCUGAAAUCCAUCCAUUAUUAAUAACACAAGUUUGUAACCCAGUAAUAUAAUGUUUUUACCCAGUUUAUAAAAGAUUCAUUAAAUCCAAAAUGUUUCAAAGUGAUUAACAUAAAAUCCCAUUCUAAAGAAUCAAAAGCUUUAGUAAAAUCUACAAAAACUAUUGCCC